rnacentral:rRNA from 1 species
UACGGAGGAUCCGAGCGUUAUCCGGAUUUAUUGGGUUUAAAGGGAGCGUAGGCGGGUUGUUAAGUCAGUUGUGAAAGUUUGCGGCUCAACCGUAAAAUUGCAGUUGAUACUGGCAUCCUUGAGUACAGUAGAGGUAGGCGGAAUUCGUGGUGUAGCGGUGAAAUGCUUAGAUAUCACGAAGAACUCCGAUUGCGAAGGCAGCAUGCCGGCUCCACACUGACGCUGAGGCACGAAAGCGUGGGUAUCGAACAGG